UCGUAACAAGGUUUCCGUAGGUGAACCUGCGGAAGGAUCAUUAAUUAUGUUAAAGCGCCUUACCUCUUAGGGUUUCCUCUGGGGUAAGUGAUUGCUUCUACACUGUGAAAAUUUGGCUGAGAGACUCAGACUGGUCAUGGGUAGACCUAUCUGGGGUUUGAUCGAUGCCACUCCUGGUUUCAGGAGCACCCUUCAUAAUAAACCUAGAAAUUCAGUAUUAUAAAGUUUAAUAAAAAACAACUUUUAACAAUGGAUCUCUUGGUUCUCGCAUCGAUGAAGAACGUAGCAAAGUGCGAUAACUAGUGUGAAUUGCAUAUUCAGUGAAUCAUCGAGUCUUUGAACGCAGCUUGCACUCUAUGGUUUUUCUAUAGAGUACGCCUGCUUCAGUAUCAUCACAAACCCACACAUAACAUUUGUUUAUGUGGUAAUGGGUCGCAUCGCUGUUUUAUUACAGUGAGCACCUAAAAUGUGUGUGAUUUUCUGUCUGGCUUGCUAGGCAGGAAUAUUACGCUGGUCUCAGGAUCUUUUUCUUUGGUUCGCCCAGGAAGUAAAGUACAAGAGUAUAAUCCAGCAACUUUCAAACUAUGAUCUGAAGUCAGGUGGGA
rnacentral:rRNA from 1 species